rnacentral:lncRNA from 1 species
AUGCUGCGGUGGCCCACCCGCUUCCCCCGGGCGCGCGCACGCGCAUCAGGCCCCCGGCCCCCCCCCCCGCGCCCCUGGGCUCCCAGCCCCACCCGCGCCGGGCUGGUCCUCCCGCUCCCCGGGGCCGGCUCUCAGGGGUCGCAGGGAGGCCGCGGCCGCCCGGCCCGUCCCACGCACGGCUUCCCGGGGCUCCCGGAGGAAUCCUGGGCCGGCGGGGCUCGGCAGUCGCGCGUCCCCUUCGCCCGUUCCUUCUCUUCAAGCACACGGAACCGGAGAACACGAGGCAGGGCUCUUCAAAGCCGCGCCACCGGGGCCGCCGUGCUGAGGCGAGGACGAGGACGCGCCCAGGCGCAGGAGGCGUCGACUCUCGGGCCCAUCCGGCCGUUAAUGGCGGCCCACAGUGGAAAUCCUUUGAGUACACUGAGCUAA